rnacentral:rRNA from 1 species
UACGUAGGGUGCGAGCGUUAAUCGGAAUUACUGGGCGUAAAGCGUGCGCAGGCGGUUUUGUAAGCCAGAUGUGAAAUCCCCGGGCUUAACCUGGGAAUGGCAUUUGGGACUGCAAGGCUCGAGUGCGGCAGAGGAGACUGGAAUUCCUGGUGUAGCAGUGAAAUGCGUAGAUAUCAGGAGGAAUACCGAUGGCGAAGGCAGGUCUCUGGGCUAUAACUGACGCUCAUGCACGAAAGCGUGGGGAGCAAACAGG